AAAAUAUCUUCAUUUGUGUUUCGAAAGGGAAUGAAAGUUGUAUGGGUUUGGAAUGUAAUUAAUGACUAUUUUAAUUAGCAAUCCCUUUAUUAUGUUUAAUUAGUUAUGCUCAGCACUUCCCGUCAGUGCGGUUAAUAGCACAUAAUUUAACUCAAGUAUCAUGUUGAAAUGACUUCUGUAGGGAGCUAAGUGCACAUCCAGAAGAGUCCAGUCCCUCCAUAAUGGGAAACCUGCGGCUUCAGUCCAUGAAACAGUCACCUUCCCAAAAUUCCUGUGACAGUGCCAUUUUAGAGGGUAGUCUGGCGGACGAUGGCUUGUCCAUUGAUAGUGACAUCAGUGAAUUUGUCAUCCUCAUGGACUCAGGUACAGCAACACUCAAUGCACUUUUAUUUUAAAAACUAGAACCAGAACUGUCAGUAUCUUGAAGUCAUGUGUGUUUGUGUUGUUGUGAUUCAGAGUCUGGUGUGGAGUCGUUGCGUCCUAAUGGUACGGGUGUCUCAGGCAGCUGUGUUAGUCCAGCUCCAGGAACAGAAGGGUCGUCAGCAGACCUCAGCAGCUCUCUGUCCCAGAGCACGGAAGACAUUGCUCAAGAUAUGGUGUCUGUGUUAGUUCUGUGUCUGAGGCGAAUAGGGUGCCUGACGGAGAAGUGUGGUGAAGAUAUCGUGGUGGCGCUGGAAGCCCAAGAGCUUGUGCCUAAACAACAUGGCAACCAUAAAGUCAUAGACCUGCUGGCGGGACUGGCACUGACUGAGGGUUCGGAUGCUAAAUGUGUCCAUAAAUGUGAAUGCCAAAAUAAUAAUUUGGCCACUUUUUUUUGACCGCUUUGUUUAAAUUAACAUUAGGCACAACACUGUUUACAUGAAUCUCCUGCCCAAACAUCCCCAAGAUUCCAAUAGUGAUCGCUUUCACUUGUCAGCACCAGUUUGAAUGACCUUGUGCUAAUUCAGCUUCUCAGACAUCGACAAACGUACAUACGAGUAUGUUGGACACAUCUGUUUCAUAAGAUCACACAUCAUUAAAGGAGCAGUUCACCAUUACAUCACUUGUUCACCAGUGGAUCCUCUGCAGUGAAUGGGUGCCGUCAGAAUGAGAGUCCAAACAGCUAAAAGGCCGGAACACUCCAAGCCGAUGGUAUUUUAUAUACUAUAUAAUAUUUUCAUAACAACAUGUUAUUCAUAAUGACAUAACAAUUCAAAUUCAAAAAAUUAUCAACAUUUUAUUCAAAAUGGUAAGCAAGCACUGCUUUAUGUUUUGUAUGUCUGCGUAUAUCUGCUUAUGUCUUGUAUAUUGUUUCUGUUUCUCCUUUUGAAUGAUGAAUCUAUACUAUUGAUAGCUGCUGAUAUAGACAGUUAACUCCUCUCAUGCAGGCACAAAAGGCACGUGCUAGUUUGCAAUCGGCUGUAGUCUGUUCAAGUGCAGCGUUUUGGUCCAGACACAGCUGAUGUGAGGCAACGACAUUGGCUUUCGUCGUCACUAAUUUUUUGAAGUCGGCUUGUUGUGUCCUGGCAUUGAUAAAAACUUCAAAAUAAUUCACAAGUAAUCCACACGACUCCAAUCCAUCAAUUAACAUCUUGUGAAGCGAAAAGAUGUGUUUGAUGGAAACAAAUCCAUCAAGUCGUUUUUAAAUUCAAAUCGUUGCUUCUGGCUAAAAUAUGAGUCCUCGAUCCAUAAUUUUGCCUUCUCUGGUGAAAAUGUCGUCUCGUCUGAGUGAAAUCGGCACAGAUCAAGCACCGUUUACAAACGAAAACUGUCCAAAACCGUUCCAAACAAAUAUGCGAGUGGAUUUUAAUGUAAAAGUACAAGAGGGGAUGGACUUUUUCACUGGAGGAAGCGUUAUUAUGGAUUAU
rnacentral:lncRNA from 1 species